GACGAACGCUGGCGGCGUGCCUAAUACAUGCAAGUUGAGCGCUGAAGGUUGGUACUUGUACCAACUGGAUGAGCAGCGAACGGGUGAGUAACGCGUGGGGAAUCUGCCUUUGAGCGGGGGACAACAUUUGGAAACGAAUGCUAAUACCGCAUAAAAACUUUAAACACAAGUUUUAAGUUUGAAAGAUGCAAUUGCAUCACUCAAAGAUGAUCCCGCGUUGUAUUAGCUAGGUGGUGAGGUAAAGGCUCACCAAGGCGAUGAUACAUAGCCGACCUGAGAGGGGGGUCGGCCAAAGUGGGACUGAGACACGGCCCAAACUCCUACGGGAGGCAGCAGUAGGGAAUCUUCGGGAAUGGACGAAAGUCUGACCGAGCAACGCCGCGUGAGGGAAGAAGGUUUUCGGAUCGUAAAACUCGGUUGGUAGAGAAGAACGUUGGUGGGAGUGGAAAGCUCAUCAAGUGACGGUAACUACCCAGAAAGGGACGGCUAACUACGUG
rnacentral:rRNA from 1 species